UUUGCCUACGGGACGCAGCAGUGGGGAAUAUUGCACAAUGGGGGAAACCCUGAUGCAGCGACGCCGCGUGAGCGAAGAAGUAUUUCGGUAUGUAAAGCUCUAUCAGCAGGGAAGAAAAAAAUGACGGUACCUGAGUAAGAAGCACCGGCUAAAUACGUGCCAGCAGCCGCGGUAAUACGUAUGGUGCAAGUGUUAUCCGGAUUUACUGGGUGUAAAGGGAGCGUAGGCGGCGCGUUAAGUCUGAUGUGAAAACCCGAGGCUCAACCACGGGAGUGCAUUGGAAACUGGCGUGCUGGAGGGCCGGG
rnacentral:rRNA from 1 species